rnacentral:rRNA from 1 species
AUUGAACGCUGGCGGCAGGCCUAACACAUGCAAGUCGAGCGAGCGGCGGACGGGUGAGUAAUGUAUGGGAAACUGCCCGAUGGAGGGGGAUAACUACUGGAAACGGUAGCUAAUACCGCAUACCAUCAGAUGUGCCCAGAUGGGAUGAGCUAGUAGGUGGGGUAACGGCUCACCUAGGCGACGAUCCCUAGCUGGUCUGAGAGGAUGACCAGCCACACUGGAACUUAGACACGGUCCAGACUCCUACGGUAGGCAGCAGUGGGGAAUAUUGCACAAUGGGCGCAAGCCUGAUGCAGCCAUGCCGCGUGUGUGAAGAAGGCCUUCGGGUUGUAAAGUACUUUCAGCGGGGAGGCGUUACCCGCAGAAGAAGCACCGGCUAACUCCGUGCCAGCAGCCGCGGUAAUUC